UAUGGCCAUAUCACUUUGAAACACCAGUUCCUGUACAAUCACCAAAGUUAAGCAAUGUCAAGCCUGGUCAGUACCUGGAUAGGUGACCACUUGGAAACACCAGGUGCUGUAAG